GCCUUGUAAAAGUGUGUUUCAAGAAGCUUUUUUGUGGAAAGAUAUUGGUUGUAUUCAUAGCCGUGCUGUGCGUUUGUAUAUUGAAAGUAUUAAGAAUAAAGAUUGUAAAAUGGUAGGUUUCCCUUGUGUUGGAGGAUAUAAUACUUUUCUUUUAAAAGGGGAAUGCUUCGACACCUCAAAAGCAUUUCCUCUUGGGCUGAACACUCCUCGUAAUGCAAAUGGAGAAUUGUAUUUAACUACAAGAAUUGUGGCUCCAUUCUGUGGUAUUCAGCUCAAAGUAAACAUAUUGGUGGAUAUUCCAUACUCUUUUCCUUGGAAUACAUUAUAAUCGUGAAUUGAAGAUUAUUUUUUAUGGCGACCAAGGAGAAAUCGAAUCUUUCACUAUUGCGAAGUUAGUUUUUUAAUUAAAUAAAAUCUUUUAUUUUGUAUAUGGGGAGAUAUAGAGAUAAUAA
rnacentral:lncRNA from 1 species